AGAGUUUGAUCCUGGCUCAGGAUGAACGCUGGCGGCGUGCUUAACACAUGCAAGUCGAACGAACCUUCGGGUUAGUGGCGGACGGGUGAGUAACGCGUGAGAAUCUGCCCUCAGGAGGGGGAUAACGGCUGGAAACGGCCGCUAAUACCCCAUAUGCCGAGAGGUGAAAUGAAUUUCGCCUGAGGAUGAGCUCGCGUCUGAUUAGCUAGUUGGUGUGGUAAAGGCUCACCAAGGCUUCGAUCAGUAGCUGGUCUGAGAGGAUGAUCAGCCACACUGGGACUGAGACACGGCCCAGACUCCUACGGGAGGCAGCAGUGGGGAGUUUUCCGCAAUGGGCGCAAGCCUGACGGAGCAACGCCGCGUGAGGGAUGAAGGCCUCUGGGCUGUAAACCUCUUUUAUCAAGGAAGAAGAUCUGACGGUACUUGAUGAAUAAGCCACGGCUAAUUCCGUGCCAGCAGCCGCGGUAAUACGGGAGUGGCAAGCGUUAUCCGGAAUUAUUGGGCGUAAAGCGUCCGCAGGCGGUCUUGUAAGUCUGUCGUUAAAGCGUGGAGCUUAACUCCAUUUAAGCGAUGGAAACUGUAAGACUAGAGUGUGGUAGGGGCAGAGGGAAUUCCCGGUGUAGCGGUGAAAUGCGUAGAUAUCGGGAAGAACACCAGUGGCGAAGGCGCUCUGCUGGGCCAUAACUGACGCUCAUGGACGAAAGCCAGGGGAGCGAAAGGGAUUAGAUACCCCUGUAGUCCUGGCCGUAAACGAUGAACACUAGGUGUCGGGGGAAUCGACCCCCUCGGUGUCGUAGCCAACGCGUUAAGUGUUCCGCCUGGGGAGUACGCACGCAAGUGUGAAACUCAAAGGAAUUGACGGGGGCCCGCACAAGCGGUGGAGUAUGUGGUUUAAUUCGAUGCAACGCGAAGAACCUUACCAGGGUUUGACAUCCUGCGAAUCUCUUGGAAACGAGAGAGUGCCUUCGGGAACGCAGUGACAGGUGGUGCAUGGCUGUCGUCAGCUCGUGUCGUGAGAUGUUGGGUUAAGUCCCGCAACGAGCGCAACCCACGUCGUUAGUUGCCAGCAUUUAGUUGGGCACUCUAGCGAGACCGCCGGUGAUAAACCGGAGGAAGGUGUGGACGACGUCAAGUCAUCAUGCCCCUUACAUCCUGGGCUACACACGUACUACAAUGCUACGGACAAAGGGCAGCAAACUCGCGAGAGCUAGCAAAUCCCAUAAACCGUGGCUCAGUUCAGAUCGUAGGCUGCAACUCGCCUACGUGAAGGAGGAAUCGCUAGUAAUCGCAGGUCAGCAUACUGCGGUGAAUACGUUCCCGGGCCUUGUACACACCGCCCGUCACACCAUGGAAGUUGGCCACGCCCGAAGCCGUUACUCCAACCCUUGUGGAGGAGGAUGUCGAAGGUGGGGCUGAUGACUGGGGUGAAGUCGUAACAAGGUAGCCGUACCGGAAGGUGCGGCUGGAUCACCUCCU
rnacentral:rRNA from 1 species